UACGUAGGGGGGCGAGCGUUGUCCGGAUUUAUUGGGCGUAAAGAGCGUGUAGGCGGCCAGGUAGGUCUGCUGUGAAAACUCGAGGCUCAACCUCGAGACGUCGGCGGAAACCAUCUGGCUAGAGUCCGGAAGAGGAGAGUGGAAAUUCCUGGUGUAGCGGUGAAAUGCGCAGAUAUCAGGAAGAACACCCGUGGCGAAAGCGGCUCUCUGGAACGGUACUGACGCUGAGACGCGAAAGCGUGGGGAGCGAACAGG
rnacentral:rRNA from 1 species